GGAAGGUCACGUUCAGGUUUAUAACGAGCUGGUGCUGAUGGAAAAUAAGCCAUGAUUAGCCACACACAGAUGCUGCGGGGAUUGGGGGGAAAGGUUACUCACGAAGGUCUAUGCUCAGUAUGAAAAAAAGGCAAGAGCCACAGUCUUGGGUUUUGGAAGAAAGUAGCUUUCACUAAUGCCCCGCUUCUGCCUCAGCUCUGUUGCUCCUUGCCUCAAGAUUUGUUCUCUCCGAUUCAACCCAAGCCCGGAAAGAUAUCAAGGUGGCCUGUGAGAUGGGGCGAGCCGAUGGGCGAAGUGGAAGAGAUGGCACAUGUAUGGCUGUGGCUGAUUCUACACAAUCAGAAAAUAAACACAUUGAUAAAAGAAGCAUCUGAACAUUUCAUGCUGUAUGAACAGACG
rnacentral:lncRNA from 1 species